rnacentral:ncRNA from 1 species
UAAAAAGCAAUGACCGGAACGAGUAAGCAGGAAGAUCCUUACAGAGAGCAAAGGUCAGGUGGAAGCUUUGCAGGUUAUUCCGGCUGAAAAUCCUCCGGUAGCUUCAAGCUGAAACCGCAAGGGAGUAGGUGAGACGGCAGGGGCCGUUAUCCCCCGCACAAGUGACAGGCGUUUAUGCCUGUAAUUUGGGUGGUACCGCGUAGGUUUUUAUGCCUUUCGUCCCAUAA